rnacentral:rRNA from 1 species
AAAUCCGGUUCACUUUAACACUGAGGCGUGACGACGAGGCACUACGGUGCUGAAGCAACAAAUGCCCUGCUUCCAGGAAAAGCCUCUAAGCAUCAGGUAACAUCAAAUCGUACCCCAAACCGACACAGGUGGUCAGGUAGAGAAUACCAAGGCGCUUGAGAGAACUCGGGUGAAGGAACUAGGCAAAAUGGUGCCGUAACUUCGGGAGAAGGCACGCUGACACGUAGGUGAAGUGAUUUACUCAUGGAGCUGAAGUCAGUCGAAGAUACCAGCUGGCUGCAACUGUUUAUUAAAAACACAGCACUGUGCAAACACGAAAGUGGACGUAUACGGUGUGACGCCUGCCCGGUGCCGGAAGGUUAAUUGAUGGGGUCAGCGCAAGCGAAGCUCCUGAUCGAAGCCCCGGUAAACGGCGGCCGUAACUAUAACGGUCCUAAGGUAGCGAAAUUCCUUGUCGGGUAAGUUCCGACCUGCACGAAUGGCGUAAUGAUGGCCAGGCUGUCUCCACCCGAGACUCAGUGAAAUUGAACUCGCUGUGAAGAUGCAGUGUACCCGCGGCAAGACGGAAAGACCCCGUGAACCUUUACUAUAGCUUGACACUGAACAUUGAGCCUUGAUGUGUAGGAUAGGUGGGAGGCUUUGAAGUGUGGACGCCAGUCUGCAUGGAGCCGACCUUGAAAUACCACCCUUUAAUGUUUGAUGUUCUAACGUGGACCCGUUACCCGGGUUGCGGACAGUGUCUGGUGGGUAGUUUGACUGGGGCGGUCUCCUCCUAAAGAGUAACGGAGGAGCACGAAGGUUGGCUAAUCCUGGUCGGACAUCAGGAGGUUAGUGCAAUGGCAUAAGCCAGCUUGACUGCGAGCGUGACGGCGCGAGCAGGUGCGAAAGCAGGUCAUAGUGAUCCGGUGGUUCUGAAUGGAAGGGCCAUCGCUCAACGGAUAAAAGGUACUCCGGGGAUAACAGGCUGAUACCGCCCAAGAGUUCAUAUCGACGGCGGUGUUUGGCACCUCGAUGUCGGCUCAUCACAUCCUGGGGCUGAAGUAGGUCCCAAGGGUAUGGCUGUUCGCCAUUUAAAGUGGUACGCGAGCUGGGUUUAGAACGUCGUGAGACAGUUCGGUCCCUAUCUGCCGUGGGCGCUGGAGAACUGAGGGGGGCUGCUCCUAGUACGAGAGGACCGGAGUGGACGCAUCACUGGUGUUCGGGUUGUCAUGCCAAUGGCACUGCCCGGUAGCUAAAUGCGGAAGAGAUAAGUGCUGAAAGCAUCUAAGCACGAAACUUGCCCCGAGAUGAGUUCUCCCUGAGACUUAAAGUCUCCUGAAGGAACGUUGAAGACGACGACGUUGAUAGGCCGGGUGUGUAAGCGCAGCGAUGCGUUGAGCUAACCGGUACUAAUGAACCGUGAG